AUUGAACGCUGGCGGCAGGCCUAACACAUGCAAGUCGAGCGGAUGAAGGGAGCUUGCUCCUGGAUUCAGCGGCGGACGGGUGAGUAAUGCCUAGGAAUCUGCCUGGUAGUGGGGGAUAACGUCCGGAAACGGGCGCUAAUACCGCAUACGUCCUGAGGGAGAAAGUGGGGGAUCUUCGGACCUCACGCUAUCAGAUGAGCCUAGGUCGGAUUAGCUAGUUGGUGGGGUAAAGGCCUACCAAGGCGACGAUCCGUAACUGGUCUGAGAGGAUGAUCAGUCAGACGGGAGGGGAGACACGGGGCACAAGGCGGGGGGAGGCAGCAGAGGAGAAUGGGGGACAGGGGGAGAAGGGUGGAUGCGACGAUGCGGCGUGGGGGAAGUAGUGCUGAGGGUGUAAAAGAAUAUUAAGGGGGGAGGAAGGGAAGUAAGUUCAUACCUUGUUGUUAUGACGUAAAAACAAGAAGAAGCCCCAGCUACCUUCGUGCCAGCAGCGGCGGUAAUAGAUCGAACAGAACAUUCUGAAC
rnacentral:rRNA from 1 species